rnacentral:rRNA from 1 species
GCGUAACCUAGUGGUGUCGCGUGUCGUGAAAACUCACAGCUUACUGUGGGCGUGCGGGCGAUACGGGCAACUAAGUACUGCAGGGAGACUGGAAUCCUGGUGUAGCGGUGGAAUGCGCAGAUAUCAGGAGGAACACCGGUGGCGAAGGCGGGUCUCUGGGCAGUAACUGACGCUGAGGAGCGAAAGCGUGGGGAGCGAACAGGAUUAGAUACCCUGGUAGUCCACGCCGUAAACGGUGGGUACUAGGUGUGGGUUCCUUCCUUGGGAUCCGUGCCGUAGCUAACGCAUUAAGUACCCCGCCUGGGGAGUACGGCCGCAAGGCUAAAACUCAAAGGAAUUGACGGGGGCCCGCACAAGCGGCGGAGCAUGUGGAUUAAUUCGAUGCAACGCGAAGAACCUUACCUGGGUUUGACAUGCACAGGACGCCGGCAGAGAUGUCGGUUCCCUUGUGGCCUGUGUGCAGGUGGUGCAUG